GUCUACAGCCACGCCAGCCUGAAAAAGCCUGAUCCCGUCUCAUCUCGGAAGCUAAGUAGGGUUGGGUCUGGUUAGUACUUGGAUGGGAGACCACUUAGGAAGAGCAGGUGCUGUAGGUG
rnacentral:rRNA from 1 species